AAGGUACUGUGGUGUUCUUUCGCAUAUCAUUAAUUAAUUUCUCUUUAUUUCUACCCAUUGUUAAUAUUAAUUGUGCUUCGCUUCCAGAUUAUUAUUCUUUCAGGUUUUUCUUGUGACCGCGCAAUGCGGUCUUGUGUUAGAAUCAGUGUUUGCUUCGUAAUUAUGUAUUUUUCUUGAUUUUGUGGCCGCGCGCAAUGCGGUCGUAGAGCCUUGCUUCAUAUUUGCAUUAUAGUUUGCAAUUUUUCUAGUUAUUUAGUCAAUUUACAAUGUCAUUUCCUAUUUCGUAAUUCUGUCUUAAUAAAUGUUAUCGCGAAAUCCGAGUCAGUGUUUGUUCGUCGAUUAGAAUUUGAACGGGCAUGUCUAUAGUUAUCUAGUCAUUAUCUUUUUAUUCUUGUCUUGUCCUCAAGAAAGAAGGUAGCGCGAAGAGAAGGCAUUCUUCGGUGGGCAGCAAUGGGUCUUAUCUCGGUUGCUCCAAGAAUAUUCGGUGACCGCGCGCAAUGCGGUCGGUAGACUCAGUGUUUGUUUCGUAGUAAUUUUUAGUUGAUUUCAAUUUCGAUUUCGAAUAUCUUUCAGUCAAUUUCGACUUGAUUCAUUAUAUCUUCUUUUCUAAUUCAAUUUUAUAAUUCUUGAUACAUUUAAUCGCGAAAUUAGAGUCAGUGUUGUUCGCCGAUUAAUAUUUCUUUUAUUGCUAUUUCUAACAUUCUCAAAAUGGUCAUUCAGUGUUAUUAGAGUCGCGCGUUUAAAGUCACAUCAAGAACGAAGAAUAUAAGAGAUUAUGCGGUACUCCUCGAGAGUACAAUUUGUUACAGUUUUCAUCUUUAUUCUUCUUCUUCUUCGACAACCGGCGGAUGGUUCCUGACAUUCCUCAAUUUUGGGGUGGCCGAAGCAGCAUCAA